CAAUCUGCAACGCUCUUUUCUCUUUCUGAAAACUGUUUUAUGGGGAAUCAAGGGAUACUAUCGGGCUGUUCUCCCUUUCGACAGUUGAUAUUCGGAUUUUAAAUAUAAAAAUAGUGGGCCACGAAAAUAUUAAAUUUAAAUAUGUACAAGAUCAAAUAUUUUCAUAUUGAUGCCUGCCCAUUGUUCGACCAACUUUGUUCUCCCCAACUUUCACAACCAAGAAAAGAAAAACCAUGGAAUUCAAAACAUCAUCUCCGUACAAUAUUUCUUACCAUAUAUGAGCUAGACUUGCAAGUGAAAUAGUUAAUCCAAUAAAAGUCGCUUAAUUAAUCAAUCGAUGGAGAGAUUAACCCUAUCUUAGAAAAAAGAACAACCAGUGGUCGACAGAACGGCUAUGCUUCUGCUUGUUAUAGCAUUUCCAAUCAGUAAAUAAAUAUCGUGUGUAUAUGUACCUUGAAGGGAAAGAA